rnacentral:rRNA from 1 species
AGCGAACGCUGGCGGCAGGCCUAACACAUGCAAGUCGAACGAACUCUUCGGAGUUAGUGGCGGACGGGUGAGUAACACGUGGGAACGUGCCUUUUGGUUCGGAAUAACUCAGGGAAACUUGUGCUAAUACCGAAUGUGCCCUUCGGGGGAAAGAUUUAUCGCCAUUAGAGCGGCCCGCGUCUGAUUAGCUAGUUGGUGAGGUAACGGCUCACCAAGGCGACGAUCAGUAGCUGGUGUGAGAGGAUGACCAGCCACACUGGGACUGAGACACGGCCCAGACUCCUACGGGAGGCAGCAGUGGGGAAUCUUGCGCAAUGGGCGAAAGCCUGACGCAGCCAUGCCGCGUGAAUGAUGAAGGUCUUAGGAUUGUAAAAUUCUUUCACCGGGGACGAUAAUGACGGUACCCGGAGAAGAAGCCCCGGCUAACUUCGUG